UGGUGGAUUGAUUUGUCUGGUUAAUUCCGAUAACGAACGAGACCUCCGCCUGCUUAGUAGACCCGCCAAUCCUUUGUGCUUGGCGGUUGUCUUCUUAGAGGGACUCUCGGAAAAAUCCGGAGGAAGCUGGAGGCAAUAACA
rnacentral:rRNA from 1 species